rnacentral:rRNA from 1 species
GACGAACGCUGGCGGCGUGCUUAACACAUGCAGGUCGAACGGAAAGGCCCUGCUUUUGUGGGGUGCUCGAGCGGCGAACGGGUGAGUAACACGUGAGUAACCUGCCCUUGACUUUGGGAUAACUUCAGGAAACUGGGGCUAAUACCGGAUAGGAGCUCCUGCUGCAUGGUGGGGGUUGGAAAGUUUCGGCGGUUGGGGAUGGACUCGCGGCUUAUCAGCUUGUUGGUGGGGUAGUGGCUUACCAAGGCUUUGACGGGUAGCCGGCCUGAGAGGGUGACCGGCCACAUUGGGACUGAGAUACGGCCCAGACUCCUACGGGAGGCAGCAGUGGGGAAUAUUGCACAAUGGGCGGAAGCCUGAUGCAGCAACGCCGCGUGCGGGAUGACGGCCUUCGGGUUGUAAACCGCUUUCGCCUGUGACGAAGCGUGAGUGACGGUAAUGGGUAAAGAAGCACCGGCUAACUACGUG